rnacentral:lncRNA from 1 species
CAUAAGUCACCUCAGAAUUCUAGGCAGCUGUUCCAUUGAGCCAUACCCCUACCCUCACUGGGUGGUCUAGUCACAGGCUGCUGCGGUCUAGCCCAGUCUAAUGCCUUCUAUUUCCUCAUUUUUUUAAAAGAUUUAUUUAUUUACUUAUUAUAUGUGAGUUCACUGUAGCUGUCUUCAGACACACCAGAAGAGGGCAUCAGAUCCCAUUACAGAUGGUUGUGAGCCACCAUGUGGUUGCUGGGAAUUGAACUCAGGACCUCUGGAAAAGCAGGCAGUGCUCCUAACCGCUGAGCUCUUGUUUUCUUUUUCAAGACAGGGUUUCUUGUGCAGUUCUGGCUGUCCUAGAAUUCUCUCUGUAGACAUCACAGGCCUCACACUCACUCAGAGAUCUGCCUGUCUCUGCCUCCUGAGUGCUGGGAUUAAAGUCGUGAGCCACCGCCUUAAUUUCUUUUCUUUUUUCUUUUUCCAGGCAAAGGUUCUUGAUAUAAUUCUCUACAGCAGGGUCUCCCUAUGUAUGUAUAUCAGGCUGGCCUGGGUCUCACUAUGUAGACCAGGAUGGCCCUGAUCCACUUCAUCUAGCUUUGUCUACUGAGUGUGAGGAUUAAAGGAGUCUGCCAAUAUGCCUGGUUUUAUCCCCCUUUCUUCUUUCUUUUUCCCUUUUGUUUUUUUGA